GACGAACGCUGGCGGCGUGCCUAAUGCAUGCAAGUAGAACGCACAGUUUAUACCGUAGCUUGCUACACCAUAGACUGUGAGUUGCGAACGGGUGAGUAACGCGUAGGUAACCUGCCUGGUAGCGGGGGAUAACUAUUGGAAACGAUAGCUAAUACCGCAUAAUAUUAAUUAUUGCAUGAUAAUUAAUUGAAAGGUGCAAUUGCACCACUACCAGAUGGACCUGCGUUGUAUUAGCUAGUAGGUGAGGUAACGGCUCACCUAGGCGACGAUACAUAGCCGACCUGAGAGGGUGAUCGGCCACACUGGGACUGAGACACGGCCCAGACUCCUACGGGAGGCAGCAGUAGGGAAUCUUCGGCAAUGGACGAAAGUCUGACCGAGCAACGCCGCGUGAGUGAAGAAGGUUUUCGGAUCGUAAAGCUCUGCUGUAAGAGAAGAACGGGUGUGAGAGUGGAAAGUUCACACUGUGACGGUAUCUUACCAGAAAGGGACGGCUAACUACGUG
rnacentral:rRNA from 1 species